rnacentral:rRNA from 1 species
GACGAACGCUGGCGGCGUGCUUAACACAUGCAAGUCGAACGGUGAAGCGCCUUCCUUUUUGGUGGGUGUGGAUGAGUGGCGAACGGGUGAGUAACACGUGAGUAACCUGCCCCCUUCUUCUGGAUAACCGCAUGAAAGUGUGGCUAAUACGGGAUAUUCUGGGUCUGUCGCAUGAUGGGUCUGGGAAAGAUAUUGUUUCGGUGGGGGAUGGGCUCGCGGCCUAUCAGCUUGUUGGUGGGGUGAUGGCCUACCAAGGCGGUGACGGGUAGCCGGCCUGAGAGGGGUGACGGUCACACUGGGACGUGGGCACCGCCCAGACUCCUACGGGAGGGAGCAGGUGGGAAUAUUGCACAAUGGGCGCAAGCCUGAUGCAGCGACGCCGCGUGAGGGAUGGAGGCCUUCGGGUUGUGAACCUCUUUCGCCAGUGAAGCAGGCCUGCCUCGUUUGUGGGUGGGUUGACGGUAGCUGGAUAAGAAGCGCCGGCUAACUACGUG